GAAAGCCUGACACAGCAACGCCGCGUGAGUGAUGAAGGCCGUUCGGGUCGUAAAGCUCUGUCAAGUGGGAAGAACCUAUAUAAUGUUAAUAUCAUUAUAUACUGACGGUACCACCUGAAGGAAGCACCGGCUAACUCCGUGCCAGCAGCCGCGGUAAUACGGGGGGUGCAAGCGUUAUUCGGAAUCAUUGGGCGUAAAGAAGCACGUAGGCGGCCUGGUAAGUCAGAUGUGAAAGACCCGGGGCCGUUAAACCCCCGGAAACGGUGCAUUUGUAUACUGUCAGGCUUGAGUAUGGGAGAGGGAAGUGGAAUUCCUGGUGUAGAGGUGAAAUUACGUAGAUAUCAGGAGGAACACCGGUGGCGAAGGCGACUUCCUGGACCAAUACUGACGCUGAGGUGCGAAGGCGUGGGUAGCAAACAGGAUUAGAUACCCCUGGUAG
rnacentral:rRNA from 1 species